rnacentral:rRNA from 1 species
ACAUGCAGUCGACGAUGAUCCGGUGCUUGCACCGGGGAUUAGUGGCGAACGGGUGAGUAACACGUGAGUAACCUGCCCUUGACUCUGGGAUAAGCCUGGGAAACUGGGUCUAAUACCGGAUAUGACUCCUCAUCGCAUGGUGGGGGGUGGAAAGCUUUUGUGGUUUUGGAUGGACUCGCGGCCUAUCAGCUUGUUGGUGAGGUAAUGGCUCACCAAGGCGACGACGGGUAGCCGGCCUGAGAGGGUGACCGGCCACACUGGGACUGAGACACGGCCCAGACUCCUACGGGAGGCAGCAGUGGGGAAUAUUGCACAAUGGGCGCAAGCCUGAUGCAGCGACGCCGCGUGAGGGAUGACGGCCUUCGGGUUGUAAACCUCUUUCAGUAGGGAAGAAGCGAAAGUGACGGUACCUGCAGAAGAAGCGCCGGCUAACUACGUGCCAGCAGCCGCGGUAAUACGUAGGGCGCAAGCGUUAUCCGGAAUUAUUGGGCGUAAAGAGCUCGUAGGCGGUUUGUCGCGUCUGCCGUGAAAGUCCGGGGCUCAACUCCGGAUCUGCGGUGGGUACGGGCAGGCUAGAGUGAUGUAGGGGAGACUGGAAUUCCUGGUGUAGCGGUGAAAUGCGCAGAUAUCAGGAGGAACACCGAUGGCGAAGGCAGGUCUCUGGGCAUUAACUGACGCUGAGGAGCGAAAGCAUGGGGAGCGAACAGGAUUAGAUACCCUGGUAGUCCAUGCCGUAAACGUUGGGCACUAGGUGUGGGGGACAUUCCACGUUUUCCGCGCCGUAGCUAACGCAUUAAGUGCCCCGCCUGGGGGAGUACGGCCGCAAGGCUAAAAACUCAAAGGAAUUGACGGGGGCCCGCACAAGCGGCGGAGCAUGCGGAUUAAUUUCGAUGCAACGCGAAGAACCUUACCAAGGCUUGACAUGACCGGACCGCCGCAG